rnacentral:rRNA from 1 species
AUGCCACAUGCUGAUGGUGCUUUUAAGGUGUUAGAGAAAAUAAAUGAUAAUGCAUAUAAACUUGAGCUGCCUGCAGAUUUUGGGGUUAGUCCCACUUUUAACAUUGCAGAUUUGAAGCCUUAUUUGGGUGAGGAAGAUGAGCUUUCAUCGAGGACGACUUCAUUUCAAGAAGGGGAGGAUGAUGAGGACAUCAAUACCAUUGUUACAUUCACAACCCCUAUUGCUAUACAUACUGAACCAAUUACUAGAGCUCGCGCACGCCAAUUGAAUUAUCAGGUACUUUCGUUUCUUGGUGACAAUUCUAAUGUUCAUGAGAAUAUGAUGCUGCCUAAAUUGGAUACAUUUGUGUUGAUUACUAACGAAGGGCCUAGCAUGGACAAGAGGGAUGAACACUGGAGCAGGAUCAAGCAUGGAGAUGAAGGCGCACGCGAAGGGAUCCAGAAUGGCAUUUCUAGUGCAUAUUUGAGCACUUUGAAGCCUUCGUGA